AUCUCGAAUUGCACUCAAUUCUGAUUGAUCACUUCAGUUGAGUAGAGUACUGUGUUUUUGAAUUCAUGAUGGUGGAGUUAAUAUAAGUCAGUUUAUACAUUCUUGGAAGGUAGUUUAGCAGCCGUAUUAUCCACUAUGGAGAAUGUCUCUACUAAAGUUAAAAACUCAACUUAUUAAAUCGCCGUGGCUAGAGAUACGGUACCGUAUUUCUACUUCAGUUUGUUAAAGCAAGUGUGAAACUCUGAAAAAAGUUAGUACAAGCCAACGUGAUUCAAUAUUUCAAGCUUGAUUUGUUCAACUGCAGAAUUCCUACUAUCUGAUCUUUUAGCAAGAAUUUUAAUUUAGCUUGCUACCAUCGGACAUGAAAAGGCAUCUUUGUGGACAGCUGCUUCAAUAUACAAAGAAUACUGGUUAAUGCAUGCUAACACACAAGGUUCUUGUGAUUAUUGUUUUAUAUACAGUAAUAAGCUCUAGUGGUGCUUUAAUAUAAUAGGCCUACAUUACGGACAAAAAUGCUGAUUUACACAGGACUGUAAUGCGAAGGACUCUAGAAUAAGCUUGAAUUUGAGGUACAGUAUGUGUAGCAGAAGACUUGUACCAGUUUUUAAUUAAAGAAAUUAUGGUUUGUA